rnacentral:rRNA from 1 species
GAUGAGCGCUGGCGGCGUGCCUAAUACAUGCAAGUAGAACGCUGAAGGAGGAGCUUGCUCUUCUGGAUGAGUUGCGAACGGGUGAGUAACGCGUAGGUAACCUGCCUGGUAGCGGGGGAUAACUAUUGGAAACGAUAGCUAAUACCGCAUGACAACAGUUAUUGCAUGAUAACUGUUUAAAAGGGGCAACUGCUCCACUACCAGAUGGACCUGCGUUGUAUUAGCUAGUUGGUGAGGUAACGGCUCACCAAGGCGACGAUACAUAGCCGACCUGAGAGGGUGAUCGGCCACACUGGGACUGAGACACGGCCCAGACUCCUACGGGAGGCAGCAGUAGGGAAUCUUCGGCAAUGGACGGAAGUCUGACCGAGCAACGCCGCGUGAGUGAAGAAGGUUUUCGGAUCGUAAAGCUCUGUUGUAAGAGAAGAACGAGUGUGAGGGUGGAAAGUUCACACUGUGACGGUAUCUUACCAGAAAGGGACGGCUAACUACGUG